GCAUAUCAAUAAGCGGAGGAAAAGAAACUAACAAGGAUUCCCCUAGUAACUGCGAGUGAAGCGGGAAAAGCUCAAAUUUAAAAUCUGGCGGUCUCCGGCCGUCCGAGUUGUAAUUUAGAGAAGCGUUAUCCGUGCUGGACCGUGUAUAAGUCUCCUGGAAUGGAGCGUCAUAGAGGGUGAGAAUCCCGUCUUUGACACGGACUACCAGUGCAUUGUGAUGCGCUCUCGACGAGUCGAGUUGUUUGGGAAUGCAGCUCAAAAUGGGUGGUAAAUGCCAUCUAAAGCUAAAYAUUGGCGAGAGACCGAUAGCGAACAAGUACCGUGAGGGAAAGAUGAAAAGAACUUUGGAAAGAGAGUUAAACAGUACGUGAAAUUGUCGAAAGGGAAACGGUUGCAGUCAGUCGCGUCCGCCGGGGAUCAACCUUGCUUUUGCUUGGCGUAUUUCCCGGUGGAUGGGUCAGCAUCAGUUUUGACCGCAGUUGAAAGGCUGGAGGAAUGUGGCACCUUCGGGUGUGUUAUAGCCUCCUGUCAUAUGCUGCGGUUGGGACUGAGGAACUCAGCACGCCGCAAGGCCGGGAUUCGUCCACGUUCGUGCUUAGGAUGCUGGCAUAAUGUCUGUAACCGACCCGUCUUGAAACACGGACC
rnacentral:rRNA from 1 species